UUAGGAGGCGACUGACCAAAAACUUUAGGAGGACAAGUUGGUGGUCUUGCUCUUCUAUUGGAAAUGUGCAUGGCGAGAUAUCAAAGUUGGGACUGUGCUCGGAGGAAGAGCUAAUUCAGUUUGCGGUACAUGGCUCUUUUUUAAUUGAGAGUUCUUAACCCUAUCCGCCCCGCCAUGUCCUCAAACAUUGUCUUUUUUAUUGGCUUAGUAAAAAUGUCAGCCUGCUGGAGAUCCAUGGGCGUGAAAAUCACCACUAUGGUUCCUGCGGCAUUUUUUACUCUAAUAAAGUGAUGUUGCAAUUCUAUGUGUUUUGUGCGUGAGUGUAGGACCGGAUUCUUGAUGAGUUUGACUGCCCUGAGGUUGUCGCAUUAGAGUGUAGUUGAGUCUUGUUGUGUUAUUUUGAGAUCUUGAAGCAACCUUCUUGUCCACGUUAUUUCCUUCGCAGCGUCGGUGAGGGCACGGUACUCAGCCUCGGUUGUCGAUAUUGCAACAGUUGGCCGAAGAUUAUUCUUUUAAGAAAUAGGGGCCUCUCUAAGCGUCAAUAGCAUCCUUGAAGUAGACUUGGGCCCUUCCGGAUCACGCACCCAGUCAGAAUUUGCAAACGCUUGUAGGAUGAGGUUAUUGAUGCUCGGGAAGAGGAUACCAUGGGUCGUUGUGCCUCGGAUGUAGCACAAGUCCUUUUUUGCCGCUUCCACGUGAAUUGCGAGAGGUGAGGUCAUGAAACAAAUCAACAUAGAAACAGAGUAGGAGAGUUUGCGCCGAGAAUGGGUGAAGAAGAUGAGGCUGCCCACGAGGCUCUAGUAUGCAUGUUUGUCCGUCUCGAGUGAAUUCAUGCAAGAUUGGAGCUUUGUGUCAUUUCCCUAUGGCGUGAGCAAAGAAUUAUAAGCGCCUAUGUUGUUUUUAGUGAGGAGCUGUCCUGCAUAUUGUCCUUGUGAAACAAAAAUGCCCUCGGUUGUGUAUUAAAAUUUGAGUCCAAUGUAGAGCAAGAAGGUGCCGAGCGCAGAUACUUGAUACUUUGUCUGUAGUGAGGUUUCAAAUUGUUGGAGUUCGUUGGUUGCGUCUCCAAUAAGCAUGAUGUCGUCGACAUACAAUGUGAGGAUUAUGUACCAAUUUGUUUCUGUCACUAUGGUAUACAAGUUGUGGUCGUGUUCGCUCUGCUCUAGGCCGAUGCUGAGCAGAAUUGUAUCGAUGUCAAUGUAGCAUGAUUUGCCUGAUUGUUUUAGGCCAUAAAGCACCUAUUGUAGCCUACAGAAGUUGCGUUUUGAACUUCUCCGUUUGUCCAUCUGCAAAAAUUUUGGUGCGAAAUACCUAUUUCGACGUGACUGGGCGCUUACCUACUCGAAGUGGUUUCAGGGACCAUGUGCCGUUGAAGAUUAAGGAAUCAUAAUCUUCUUUCAUCGCCUGGCGCCAACCGGGGUGUUGAUUUGCCAACUCGAAAUCCUUUGGUUCUGGCGUUGGUGCAAGGACAAAAACAUAGUCUUUAGUUGUGAUGGGUGCGCUCCAAAGGCGGGUCAAUUUUUGUAUUGCUACAGGGUGUUGCUGGUUGCGCAUGUCCAUUCGAGUAGUGUUGAUUGAGGAAGAGGCAGUUGCUGGUUCAAUGUCGAUUGGAGGUUCCAUUAUAUGCUGGCGUGUUUUGCUUCUUUCUUGCAAAGGGGGAUCUUUUUUGCAUUGUUGUUGACUAACUUGUUCUUCAGCUGAGGUGAAUUUGGUUGGUUCUGCAACUAUCGUCUGGUCGUCGCUGUUAGUGAACUUUAGGGAGUAGAUGAUGUCCUGGAUCGAUGGUACUGUUGUUUGUGAAUGUCAGAUCAUUGCCAUCUCAGAUUCGUCAAAGAAUGCAUCCUUGGUUAUGACGAUCUUUUGCUUGUUGAGGUGGUAAAGCCGGUAAGCCUUCAAUGCCAGGUCAUAGUCGGCCAUGAUGCAUAGGUCUCCGCACGGGUCCAACUUGGUUUUAUCGUCCUUUCAAACGUGUGCAUACGCUGUGCAGCCAAAAACUUUGAGGUGGAUAAUGUUAAUCGGCUUACUUGUGUAUUUGUGAAAGGGUGCUUUGUCGUUGUUUGACUUUGUGAGAGUAAUGUUGACAAGAUACGUUACGGUGCCAAUGACUUCCGGCUAGAGGACAACGAGUAGAUGUGCGACUAUUGCCAUCGUGUAAGUUUUAUCAAGGAAUGUUUGGUUCAUCCGUUCCACUACCCCGUUUUGGUGAGGGAUGUGUGGGGCGGUGAGCUGUCUUUGUAUUACUUCUUGUUAGCAGAAUGCCAAAAAAUUUGUUGACAUAAACUCCCCUCCCCUAUCCGUUCUAAGGACUUUGACCUUGCUUUGGCUUCCGUUUUCUAUCUGUGCCCUGAGACUUUUGAAGUUUUUGAAAGUUGAAGUCUUGACUUGGAGAAAGAACACCUAAACCAUUCGGCUGAAAUCAUCGAUUACAAUAAGAAAGUACUGUGGGUCUCCCUGAGAGGUUUGAGUGAAAGGGCCACACAAAUCAACACGGAGUAACUGGUUUUUGGUGGUUGCACGCGUGGAGCUUUCCUUUGUAGCGGGUAAUUUGUGCAGCUUUUCUUUCGCGCGCUUAUGGCAAAAUCAUCUGUCGGAUGGGAUGUGCGGUAUUUCCUUGAUAGAGUGCUUCGUGGAUAGGUCGUGGAGCAAUUGGAAAUCGGGGCACCCAAGUCUUUGGUGCCAUAACAUUGCAGAGUCUUGUUCUACUAGAUGUGCUCCGAUUUGGGGUGGCAUACUUGGUUUGCUUGGUGUUGUGAGUCGAUACAGAUCUGUGAGUGAGUCUCCGAUUCCCUGUGUAACUACUAUUGUUGGCUUUCGUGUUGUCAUGAUGUAGUAGCGGCUUGCUAUUAAGAUCAUAAUACAUACCCUAUUUGUUAUCGUACCAACAGACAAGAGGUUCUUGCGUACUCCAAGCACAUGGAGUACUCCAGGCACUUUUUGGGUUUUGUCUCCACAUUGCACUACUGUUGUCCCCUCUCCUCGCACUUCGUGUUCUUGUCCCGCUAUUGCCUUCACCAUUGUGUGCAUUGUGUUAGUUCGUACAAUGCGGAGGUUGGAUUGGUUUCCAGUGACAUGUACUGUGGCACCGCUAUCCAAAUACCAGUGUGCGUCGUCGCGAUCUAGGUUGAGCGCAAACAUUACUAUGUCGAAAAAGAUUUGUUCGUCCUCCUUUUCUUUGUUUUGUUGUUUUGAUUGUUGCUCUGGGUUCUCGGUUAUGAUGUUGGCUUGGGACCAACUGUGUGCUUGCAGUCGUCUGAUUCUUCUAGGUUGGGGACAUUCCCGAGCGAAAUGACCCCACUUAUGGCAAUUGUUACACUUCCUAUUCUGUGAGGGACCUCGAUAUUGCUGGUUUGCAAAAUCUUGGCGCUUGGAUCGUUCUUCUUUGCAGGUUCUGGAGCAUGAGCGCCUCGCCUUGAUCUUUUGGUCGGUCAUUUCAUCGCUGCUCUUCAUACAGGAGCCUGCUGCACAAGCUCUCAAAGAUAGGGAGUUGAUUUUGUUUGACAAUCGCUUGGAUGAAGCUGUCAUAGCUUAGUGGGAGCGCAUUUAGUGUUAGAUGGAUCAGCCUUGAAUCCUAGAUUUUUUCUCUGGCGGUCUUGAGUUGGAGCGACGUCUCCCCCAUGCGCCAGAUGAGUUCUUUGACAAUUGUUCCUUCCUGCAUCCACAAGCUUGCUCGUCUAGUGGCCGAAGGUCGACGGUGAUUCUGCCGUCUACUGAGCCCAUUUUCGGAUAAUGGAGUGUUGUGUGCUCUUGGACCAAGUGGAAGAUGCUACGCUGGGCGUUGAGAUCACGCAUCAACAUGUCAAAAGUGUGUUGAGAUCACGCAUCAACAUGUCAAAAGUGUGUUCUUGGUCGCUAGAGAAAAUUCUCUUUUGGUGGACUCUCCCUACAAAAAGCUCUACCGUGAUAUUAUAACAGCAGGCACAAACUCAACCAUUGAAGUAGUGGAGUGGGCAAUAACAGAGUGCAUCCACAACCCAGCUGUGAUGAGCAAAGCAUAAGCAGAACUUCACAGGGUUGUAGGCAAGUCCCUGAGAGUGCAUGAGGCAGAGAUUCCCAACCUUCUGUACUUACAAGCCAUCUGCAAGGAAGUGUUUUGCCUACACCCAACCACCCCUCUACUAUACCCCCAUGUGAACCAACAUGCUUGCACAGUGUUUGGGUAUGACAUACUAGCAGGGACAUCCAUGCUUGUGAAUGUGGGGGCCAUAGUGCAAGACCCAAGCAUUUGGGAGGAUCCCUUGGUGUUCAAACCUGAAAGGUUUCUUGAAAGGCAUUCACAUUUGGAUGCUCAGGGCACCACAUUGAGUUGUUGCAGUUUGGAACUGGGUGGCCGCAGUGUCCGGGCAUUGGACUCAGCCUCACCAUGGUGUACAUCUUAACUGCAACUUUGUUGCACUGUUUUGAGUGGUCCCUUCCACAAGACUUGCUA